rnacentral:rRNA from 1 species
UACAGAGGUCCCAAGCGUUGUUCGGAUUCAUUGGGCGUAAAGGGUGCGUAGGCGGCGCGGUAAGUCGGAUGUGAAAUCUCGGAGCUUAACUCCGAAACUGCAUUCGAUACUGCCGUGCUUGAGGACUGGAGAGGAGACUGGAAUUUACGGUGUAGCGGUGAAAUGCGUAGAUAUCGUAAGGAAGACCAGUGGCGAAGGCAGGUCUCUGGACAGUUCCUGACGCUGAGGCACGAAGGCCAGGGGAGCAAACGGG